UACGUAGGGACCAAGCGUUGUCCGGAAUCAUUGGGCGUAAAGAGCGUGUAGGCGGCUUGUUAAGUCUUGCGUGAAAUCUCGGGGCUCAACCCCGAGCGGUCGUGAGAAACUGGCAGGCUAGAGUGCGGGAGAGGAGAGUGGAAUUCCUGGUGUAGCGGUGAAAUGCGUAGAUAUCUGGAGGAACACCGGUGGCGAAGGCGGCAUCCUGGACCGGCAUUGACGCUAAAGCGCGAAAGCCAGGGGAGCAAACGGG
rnacentral:rRNA from 1 species